GCCUCGGUGGCUUAGUCAGUUAAGCAUCUGACUUCGGCUCAGGUCAUGAUCUCACAGUUUGUGAGUUCAAGCCCCACGCCGGGCU
rnacentral:tRNA from 1 species